rnacentral:tRNA from 1 species
GCAGCAAUAGCUUAGUGGUAAAGCACCAGGUCUGUUUGCUGGGGGAACGGGGUUCGAUUCCCGGCUGCU